UACGUAGGGGGCAAGCGUUGUCCGGAAUUAUUGGGCGUAAAGAGCGCGUAGGCGGUCCGUUAAGUCGGCUGUGAAAGUCAAGGGCUCAACCCUUGGAAGCCGGCCGAUACUGUCGGACUAGAGUCCGGAAGAGGCGAGUGGAAUUCCCGGUGUAGCGGUGAAAUGCGCAGAUAUCGGGAGGAACACCAAUUGCGAAGGCAGCUCGCUGGGACGGUACUGACGCUGAGGCGCGAAAGCGUGGGGAGCAAACAGG
rnacentral:rRNA from 1 species